CGACUUGACUGUCGCGCGAUGUCUGAUAAAUCUAAUCCUGCCCUUCGCAAGAGGGGCUAUGACAGUAGACGGAAUUCGCAGAUAGCGCUUACGGACGGGGGAUGCGAUGCCCCCCACCUCCACCACAACCACACCCGUCAUGCCUUGCUAGCGUGACGUGGCUCAGACCCAUAAGACCUGUAGAGUUCCUAGCAGGUCGGAUGGAACCGAGGGACCAGUUAUCCGGCUUGAGAGUAUGCCCAGUGUGGAACGGGCCCAUGCUCCUGGUUUCGGAUUUGGCACCUGAGGACAUGCCAGUCUGGAUGGUGUGGUUAUGAUGGGGGUGAAUCAGGAUCGACGUGGUGUGAAGAGGAAUGCUUGCUGUUCGGCAUGAUACCGCCGUUAUCGGGUCAAGAGUGUAGUUGCAAACGACAACAACGCUAUGGAAAUGCGCCUCGCCGCCUAAGGGCAGCGCGGAAUUUCCGCACUAAGUCCCCCUGGUUAGCCCCUGGGGGCGGGGCUUGGUCUCACCUGGCAACAGAACGAGACCACU
rnacentral:tmRNA from 1 species